rnacentral:rRNA from 1 species
GCUUACCAUGCAGUCGAGGGGCAACGACGGGGAAGCUUGCUUCCCCGGGCGUCGACCGGCGCACGGGUGAGUAACGCGUAUCCAACCUGCCUCUGACUGAGGGAUAACCCGUCGAAAGUCGGCCUAAUACCUCAUGGCAUCGUCUGCGGGCAUCCAACGACGAUUAAAGAUUUCAUCGGUCAGGGAUGGGGAUGCGUCUGAUUAGCUUGUUGGCGGGGUAACGGCCCACCAAGGCGACGAUCAGUAGGGGUUCUGAGAGGAAGGUCCCCCACAUUGGAACUGAGACACGGUCCAAACUCCUACGGGAGGCAGCAGUGAGGAAUAUUGGUCAAUGGGCGAGAGCCUGAACCACCCAAGUAGCGUGCAGGAUGACGGCCCUAUGGGUUGUAAACUGCUUUUAUGCGGGGAUAAAGUGAGGGACGUGUCCUUCAUUGCAGGUACCGCAUGAAUAAGGACCGGCUAAUUCCGUGCCAGCAGCCGCGGUAAUACGGAAGGUCCGGGCGUUAUCCGGAUUUAUUGGGUUUAAAGGGAGCGUAGGCCGUGGAUUAAGCGUGUUGUGAAAUGCAGGUGCUCAACGUCUGCACUGCAGCGCGAACUGGUCCACUUGAGUGUGCGCAACGCAGGCGGAAGUCAUCGUGUAGCGGUGAAAUGCUUAGAUAU